rnacentral:rRNA from 1 species
UAAGGUAGCAUAAUCAUUUGUCUUUUAAAUGAAGACUAGAACAAAAGAUUUAACAUUUUAAUAAAUAUUUUUAAUUUUUUUUUAUUGAAAUUUUCUUAAAAGUAAAAAGACUUUUAUUUAAAAGGAAGACGACAAGACCCUAUCGAACUUAACUAUUGUUAAACUGGGGCAGUUAAUAAAUUAUAACUUUUAUAGUUUUAGAAAAAAUAAAGAUCUAAUAAUAUUAAUCUAUUGAUUAAGUUACCGUAGGGAUAACAGCAUAAUAUACUUUUAAAGGCCUUAUAUAAAAAUAUGUUUAUGACCUC